rnacentral:rRNA from 1 species
AUACGUAGGGGGCGAGCGUUGUCCGGAAUGAUUGGGCGUAAAGGGCGCGUAGGCGGCCCGGUAAGUCUGGAGUGAAAGUCCUGUUUUUGAGAUGGGAAUUGCUUUGGAUACUGUCGGGCUUGAGUGCAGGAGAGGUAAGUGGAAUUCUCAGUGUAGCGGUGAAAUGCGUAGAGAUUGGGAGGAACACCAGUGGCGAAGGCGACUUACUGGACUGUAACUGACGCUGAGGCGCGAAAGUGUGGGGAGCAAACAGGAUUAGAUACCCUGGUAGUCCACACUGUAAACGAUGAAUGCUAGGUGUAGGGGGUAUCGACCCCUUCUGUGCCGCAGUCAACACAAUAAGCAUUCCGCCUGGGGAGUACGGCCGCAAGGUUGAAACUCAAAUGAAUUGGCGGGG